CAAACGGCCCUUUUCAGGGCCACCACAAAAAUUCAACUUGAACACC
rfam:Lasius niger Lnig_2.1_16818, whole genome shotgun sequence.